rnacentral:rRNA from 1 species
AGUGAACGCUGGCGGUAGGCCUAACACAUGCAAGUCGAACGGCAGCACAGUAAGAGCUUGCUCUUACGGGUGGCGAGUGGCGGACGGGUGAGGAAUACAUCGGAAUCUACUUUUUCGUGGGGGAUAACGUAGGGAAACUUACGCUAAUACCGCAUACGACCUACGGGUGAAAGCAGGGGAUCUUCGGACCUUGCGCGAUUGAAUGAGCCGAUGUCGGAUUAGCUAGUUGGCGGGGUAAAGGCCCACCAAGGCGACGAUCCGUAGCUGGUCUGAGAGGAUGAUCAGCCACACUGGAACAGAGACACGGUCCAGACUCCGACGGGAGGAAGCAGUGGGGAAUAUUGGACAAUGGGCGCAAGCCUGAUCCAGCCAUACCGCGUGGGUGAAGAAGGCCUUCGGGUUGUAGAGCCCUUUUGUUGGGAAAGAAAAGCAGCAGGUUAAUACCCCGCUGUUCUGACGGUACCCAAAGAAUAAGCACCGGCUAACUUCGUG